GGAUUGAUGGCUUCUGCUGUGGUCUCCUGGGGAAGGCUGCGGUGGCCUUCCAGCCUGCAGCAUUUGUAACUCUGCUGUCACCAAGUGUUAUAGAGGUCACCCUGGAGAAGACUCUUGCUCAGGGACAGAUGGAGCCUCACUCAUUGGGACGAGCCAGGACCCUGGUCAGUGGGCACAGUUACAGGUGCCGAAGAGUCUUAGAAGUGUCCAAGCAGAACAGAGCUAAAAGGGACCCUGUAGUUUGGUUAUUCUGGUAACUUCUCUUUAUGGAUGAAUAAAGAUCAAAAUGGGUAA
rnacentral:lncRNA from 1 species